rnacentral:misc_RNA from 1 species
GAUGAAGAACGUAGCGAAAUGCGAUAAGUAAUGUGAAUUGCAGAAUUCAGUGAAUCAUCGAAUCUUUGAACGCACAUUGCGCCCGCCAGCACUCUGGCGGGCAUGCCUGUCCGAGCGUCAUUUCAACCCUCAGGGCCCCUUCGGGGGACCUGGCGUUGGGGAUCGGCCCGCCCCCGUGCGGCGCCGUCCCCGAAAUAUAGUGGCGGUCUCGCUGCAGCCUCCCCUGCGUAGUAGCACACCUCGCACUGGAGAGCGGCGCGGCCACGCCGUGAAACCCCCAACUUCUGAAUGUUGACCUCGGAUCAGGUAGGAAUACCCGCUGAACUUAAGCAUAUCAAUAAGCGAGGA